rnacentral:rRNA from 1 species
AUUGAACGCUGGCGGAAUGCUUUACACAUGCAAGUCGAACGGCAGCACGGGGGCAACCCUGGUGGCGAGUGGCGAACGGGUGAGUAAUACAUCGGAACGUGCCCAGUCGUGGGGGAUAACGUAGCGAAAGUUACGCUAAUACCGCAUACGAUCUACGGAUGAAAGCGGGGGACCGUAAGGCUUCGCGCGAUUGUAGCGGCCGAUGUCAGAGUAGGUAGUUGGUGAGGUAAAGGCUCACCAAGCCGACGAACUGUAGCUGGUCUGAUAGGACGGCCAGCCUCACUGGGACUGCGACACGGCCCAAACUCCGACGGGACGCAGCAGUGGGGAAUUUUGGACAAUUGGCGCAAGCCUGAGCCAGCGAUGCCGCGUGGAGGACGAAGGGGUUCGGGUUGUAAACUGCUUUUGUACGGAACGAAAAGGCUCUGGUUAAUACCUGGGGCUCAUGACGGUACCGUAAGAAUAAGCACCGGCUAACUACGUGCCAGCAGCCGCGGUAA